rnacentral:rRNA from 1 species
UACGAAGGGGGCUAGCGUUGCUCGGAAUCACUGGGCGUAAAGCGCACGUAGGCGGCCAACUAAGUCAGACGUGAAAAUCCCUCGGCUCAACCGGGGACUGCGUCUGAUACUGGAUGGCUUGAAUUCGGGAGAGGGAUGCGGAAUUCCAGGUGUAGCGGUGAAAUGCGUAGAUAUCUGGAGGAACACCGGUGGCGAAGGCGGCAUCCUGGACCGAGAUUGACGCUGAUGCGCGAAAGCCAGGGGAGCAAACGGG